rfam:Lactobacillus bifermentans DSM 20003 NODE_60, whole genome shotgun sequence.
UGCCCGUUGGUCAAACGGUUAAGACGUCGCCCUCUCAAGGCGGAAUUGCGGGUUCGAUUCCCGUACGGGCUA